rnacentral:rRNA from 1 species
UACGGGGGGGGCAAGCGUUGUUCGGAAUUACUGGGCGUAAAGGGCGCGUAGGCGGCGCGGUAAGUCACUUGUGAAAUCUCUGAGCUUAACUCAGAACGGCCAAGUGAUACUGCAGUGCUAGAGUGCAGAAGGGGCAAUCGGAAUUCUUGGUGUAGCGGUGAAAUGCGUAGAUAUCAAGAGGAACACCUGAGGUGAAGGCGGGUUGCUAGGCUGACACUGACGCUGAGGCGCGAAAGCCAGGGGAGCAAACGGG